rnacentral:ncRNA from 1 species
AAUAAGACCAGAACACCCUUUGGAGCUUGAAUUAACUAGCCCAAAGAAAUUCAAUCUAACUGGGCAGGGAUAACAAACUUCUGUUUGGGUUAGCAGUUUAGGUUGGGGGUGACCUCAGAGAACAAAAUAAACUCCAAGUGAUAUAAACUUAGACUUGCCAGUCAAAAUAUCUUAUUUGUUGAUCCAAAAAAUUUUGAUCAAUGAAACAAGUUACCCUGGGGACAACAGCACAGUCCUAUUUGAGAGGUCAUAUUGAUGUUUUACCAGGACAUCCUAACCGUGCAGCAGCUGUGAGGGUUUUUUUCUUCAAGGAUUAAAGUCCUAUGGGAUCUGAGUUCAGACCGGAGUCAUCCAGGUCGGUUUCUAUCUAUU